UGAAAGGCGCAUGGAAGCCGGACAGUGCUAUCGACCAUGGCAAUAGUUUCUUUAGUGAACCGGAUCAAUUGGCUUUGACCGGUAGUCAGGAUGAAAGGAACGUUCGAUUUUGAAUGCCCAGCUCCGUUCUUAGCCGAGCAGGUAUUUUGCGGCCGUUGUGGAACCAGUCGUACUGCAACUCGCCCGAUCCUUCGCCAUGGCAGUAGAGGGCGACAUCUUCGCCCAUCUCGACUAGCGCCAGACCAGAUAGUUCGUCUUCCACAUUGUGCCGACCAGUCGUUAAGGACUGCAAGUUGAUUCUGGUCGAAUGACCGAUCCCUGCCAGAACACCAGAACACGAGUCGUUUAUGGUUUGCACCCAAUCAUAAUGUUGACAGAACUGCAAGAAUAACUCAUCCGUUAACGAAUUUACGCGCACCCGGAGUCAGCGGAGAUGGCGCGUUUCGGAACUGUUAAACACGGCGGCAUGAAUAAACAUCGCACCGCACACACAAGCCCCCGCGCAUACUGGGGUAAGUACAUGUUUCUUAAACACUUUUGGGGUUUUGUGUGUGUGUCUGUAUAUAGUACAGUCGGUGGUUACCGGUUUCAGUUUGAACAAAAAGGAAAAAGACUCUCGAACCAGAGUGCGAGAGUCUUUUUUAAGAGGGAACGUGUUAUUACGUGAGGGGGGGGGAAAAGAAUUCGACGCCGACGGUUAAAGCAGCAACUUCCCCUAUCAUCGCCGCAUCACAAAAAUAAAAAUAAAAAAAAAGGAGCCAUAACGUAAGCCGAACACAAGUGAAGAAGUAUACGGACGGAAAUAAGGAAAAAGGAAGCACCAACAAGAGGAGGAAAAGAAAAAAAAUCAAAACAAAAACAUCAACGAUAGGGUAUCCAGAAGAAGAAAAAAAAAUAAAAAAACAAGAAAAGGAAGGAGGGGAAAGAGGAAGAGAACUUUUUUUUUCUUUCCCGAAAGCUGGAGCUUCUAUCGCAAGGACGUCGUAUACACACAAGCACAAAAGUCGGCACGUUACCAGCAAAGUGUGGAAUCCCAAACGAC